rnacentral:lncRNA from 1 species
CCAAAAGAAAAAUCAAAAUCUAGUUAGUAUAUGAAUUGAUUAAGCCUAAAGACAUUGACUUUAAUUUAAAGGUUCUCUCACUAUUUUAUUCAAAUUAAUAGCCUCUACCUCUAAUUUGAGGAAUUACACUCAUUUCUUAAUGGGUACCAGAAUCCUCACAGGCUGCACAUGGGCUCGAGUGUGGCUCGACCAACCCCUAUGCACCUAUGGGUAGGUUCUUAACCAAUUGUUUCAGCAAACAAUUUAUAGCAAUUAAUUUUACCCCAGACAUUUUUUUCAACAGAUGUGUGGUGCCUUCACUGAAAAUUUUAAUUAGGUCCAACCAUUAACAUGUCGAAUUUAGUGUAUCUGACAAAUAAGUGAUCAGGCCUGAGUGUGGCUCGGCCAACCUGACCGUCAUUAGAAAGACAAUUAAAUUAACAUAUUAUGAAUGAUAAUUUCG